AUACGAUACCAUACUUUUGUUUCGCAGUCUUUCCAUCAAUUCAGCAGUCAUAAUGAAAUACUUCAUUAUCUUCUCUGUAAUUUUACUCGUUGCCACAGCAGCCACAGCCAUUCCGGCGAGUGACCAAGGCAGGUCUCUAGCCAAACGCGGAGUAGGAUGCUGGUGUGCUGGUCACGUCGACAGGGGUAUUUUCUGGUUUUUUGCAAUUAAAUGCUAUCCAAAGGAAGUCAUUUGUGAAAAAUUUCUUAGUGGGAUUUGCUGUAGGCCACAAAAAUACGAAGGAGAAAAAAUGUUCUAAUGAUUUAAUAAGAGUAAAUAAGAUAAAUGCACCAACAUUCGCAAUCAAGUGCAGUAGAAUUUUCAUUCAUGGUAAAUCAGCUCUAUUUGUUGUACUUGCACCAUGUAAACUGUAAAAUAAAAGAACUUAACGCUUGAAUCAAAAUAAACUUUUACUCAGUAGCCCACAGGCAGCCCAAACAA